rnacentral:rRNA from 1 species
CAGCACCCCCAGAUAAAGUGCACUAAAAUCUGCACACCCGAACCCAGACGAGCUACCUAAAAGCAGUCAUAUGGACGCACCCAUCUCUGUGGCAAAAGAGUGGGAUGACUUAUAGGUAGAGGCGAAAUACCAACCGAGCCUGGAGAUAGCUGGUUGCUCAAGACCCGAAUAAAAGUUCAACCCUGGUAUACACUCCAACACACUCACAUAUGCCAUACGUAAUUACCAGGAGCUAUACAAUUAGGGUACAGCCUAAUUGUAUUCGAAUACAACCGACCCUAGAGAACUUCAUCUCAUAUCCUCCAUGUAGGCCUCUAAGCCGCCACCAAACAAUAACCGCGUCAAAGCGACUAUAAACAAAAAUAUCACACCAAAUUACACUCCCUAGUUAAUGAUUGAGCCACCUCAUACAAAAAUGAAAGGAGAUACUGCUAAAACUAGUAAUAAGAGUCUACUCUCUAUGCAUAUCCUUGCACCAGCUCAAAUACACUACUGGUACUUACCAAACCUUAAUCCACAUGAACCCAUACACGCACUAUCAUAACAAAAUAUUGUCACCCCAACACAGGAAUGCAACAAACGACCGAUUAAAAGUUACAAAAGGAACUCAGCUAAUAUGCCCCAUCUGUUUACCAAAAACAUAGCCUUUAGCCUAACAAGUAUUAAAGGUACUGCCUGCCCAGUGAAAAAUCUUUUAAACGGCCGCGGUAUCAUAACCGUGCAAAGGUAGCAUAAUCACUUGUCCUCUAAAUAAGGACCCGUAUGAACGGCCACAUGAGGGCCUAACUGUCUCCUGAAACCAAUCAAUGAAACUGAUCUCUCAGUACAAAAGCUGAGAUAAACACAUAAGACGAGAAGACCCUGUGGAGCUUUAAAUUAACCACUACUACAAACAACUAAAACUCCUGUGGGAACAAGCUUAGUAACAUAGUGCAAAUUUUAAGUUGGGGCGACUGCGGAGAAAAACAAAACCUCCAUGCAACCAGACCUUACCACUCAUUACCCGGCCCACACGCCCAGUAAUAAUAUACUACGACCCAGCAUAGCUGACCAUCGAACCAAGUUACCCCAGGGAUAACAGCGCCAUCCUCUUCAAGAGUCCAUAUCGCCAAGAGGGUUUACGACCUCGAUGUUGGAUCAGGACCCCCAGGUGGUGAAGCCGCUACCAAAGGUUCGUUUGUUCA